AAAGGAAGGCCUUGCUCCUUUUGACGUUAGCGGCGGACGGGUGAGUAACACGUGGAUAACCUACCUAUAAGACUGGGAUAACUUCGGGAAACCGGAGCUAAUACCGGAUAACAUAUUGAACCGCAUGGUUCAAUAGUGAAAGGCGGCUUUGCUGUCACUUAUAGAUGGAUCCGCGCCGUAUUAGCUAGUUGGUAAGGUAACGGCUUACCAAGGCAACGAUACGUAGCCGACCUGAGAGGGUGAUCGGCCACACUGGAACUGAGACACGGUCCAGACUCCUACGGGAGGCAGCAGUAGGGAAUCUUCCGCAAUGGGCGAAAGCCUGACGGAGCAACGCCGCGUGAGUGAUGAAGGUCUUCGGAUCGUAAAACUCUGUUAUCAGGGAAGAACAAAUGUGUAAGUAACUGUGCACAUCUUGACGGUACCUGAUCAGAAAGCCACGGCUAACUACGUGCCAGCAGCCGCGGUAAUACGUAGGUGGCAAGCGUUAUCCGGAAUUAUUGGGCGUAAAGCGCGCGUAGGCGGUUUUUUAAGUCUGAUGUGAAAGCCCACGGCUCAACCGUGGAGGGUCAUUGGAAACUGGAAAACUUGAGUGCAGAAGAGGAAAGUGGAAUUCCAUGUGUAGCGGUGAAAUGCGCAGAGAUAUGGAGGAACACCAGUGGCGAAGGCGACUUUCUGGUCUGUAACUGACGCUGAUGUGCGAAAGCGUGGGGAUCAAACAGGAUUAGAUACCCUGGUAGUCCACGCCGUAAACGAUGAGUGCUAAGUGUUAGGGGGUUUCCGCCCCUUAGUGCUGCAGCUAACGCAUUAAGCACUCCGCCUGGGGAGUACGACCGCAAGGUUGAAACUCAAAGGAAUUGACGGGGACCCGCACAAGCGGUGGAGCAUGUGGUUUAAUUCGAAGCAACGCGAAGAAACCUUACCAAAUCUUGACAUCCUUUGACCGCUCUAGAGAUAGAGUUUUCCCCUUUCAGGGGGACAAAAGUGACAAGGUGGGUGCAUGGCUUGUCGGUCAGCUCGUGUCGUGAGAUGUUUGAUUAAAGUUCCCCGCACGAGGCGGCAAUCCCUUAAGGCUUAGUUGCAUUCCAUAAGGAUUGGCACUCUAAGAUGACUUGCCGAGUU
rnacentral:rRNA from 1 species